AUUGAACGCUGGCGGAAUGCUUUACACAUGCAAGUCGAACGGCAGCACGGACUUCGGUCUGGUGGCGAGUGGCGAACGGGUGAGUAAUGUAUCGGAACGUGCGCAGUAGUGGGGGAUAACGUCGUGAAAAUUACGCUAAUACCGCAUACGCACUAUGGAUGAAAGCGGGGGACAGCAAGACCGCGAGCGAUUAGAGCGGCCGAUAUCAGAUUAGGUAGUUGGUGGGGUAAAGGCCCACCAAGCCAACGAUCUGUAGCUGGUCGGAGAGGACGACCAGCCACACUGGAUCUGAGACACGGUCCAGACUCCUACGGGAGGCAGCAGUGGGGAAUUUUGGACAAUGGGCGAAAGCCUAAUCCAGCCAUUCCGCGUGCAGGAUGAAGGCCCUCGGGGUGUAAACUGCUUUUGUACAGAACGAAAAGGUUUCUACUAAUACUAGGAGCUCAUGACGGUACUGUAAGAAUAAGCACCGGCUAACUACGUGCCAGCCGCCGCAGUAA
rnacentral:rRNA from 1 species